rnacentral:rRNA from 1 species
CUAAAACGUCCGUAGCCGGUCUGAUACAUUCGUGGGUAAAUCAACCAGCUCAACUGGUUGAAUUCUGCGAGGACGGUCAGACUUGGGACCGGGAGAGGUGUGGGGUACGCUCAGGGUAGGGGUAAAAUCCUGUCAUCCUGAGCGGACCACCUGUUGCGAAGGCGCCACACUAGAACGGAUCCGACGGUCAGGGACGAAGCCUAGGGGCACGAACCGGAUUAGAUACCCGGGUAGUCCUAGGUGUAAACGCUGUGGACUUGAUGUUGGGGGUGCUCCGAGCACUCUCAGUGUCGAAGCGAAGGUGAUAAGUCCACUGCCUGGGAAGUACGGUCGCAAGGCUGAAACUUAAAGGAAUUGGCGGG